CCUACGGGAGGCAGCAGUGGGGAAUAUUGGACAAUGGGGCGAAAGCCUGAUCCAGCCAUGCCGCGUGUGUGAAGAAGGUCUUCGGAUUGUAAAGCACUUUAAGUUGGGAGGAAGGGCAGUAAGCGAAUACCUUGCUGUUUUGACGUUACCGACAGAAUAAGCACCGGCUAACUCUGUGCCAGCAGCCGCGGUAAUACAGAGGGUGCAAGCGUUAAUCGGAAUUACUGGGCGUAAAGCGCGCGUAGGUGGUUUGUUAAGUUGAAUGUGAAAUCCCCGGGCUCAACCUGGGAACUGCAUCCAAAACUGGCAAGCUAGAGUAGGGCAGAGGGUGGUGGAAUUUCCUGUGUAGCGGUGAAAUGCGUAGAUAUAGGAAGGAACACCAGUGGCGAAGGCGACCACCUGGGCUCAUACUGACACUGAGGUGCGAAAAGCGUGGGGAAGCAAACAGGAUUUAGAUACCCUGGGUAGUCCACGCCGUAAAACGAUGUCAACUAGCCGUUUGGAAGCCUUUGGAGUCUUUAGUUGGUCGCGAGCGAACGACGAGUUAAGUUAGUACCGCCGUGGGAGGUAACGGUCCGGCGAAGGUUAAAACGUUAACGAAAGUUAAGUAAGUUAGGACGGNGAGAGAGCGACGACGACGACGACGGAGGAGGAG
rnacentral:rRNA from 1 species